ensembl:lncRNA
UUUGGUCUCGGCUGUUUUCUGAGAUGGUGUGCUGUAUAGCUAGAGAGCUUCCUUAUCAGAUGUCUCUAAAGUGGAGGAAUGCCACGUUGUUUAGAGAACAUGACUCAUUCACAGCUACACUUAAAGACCAAUACUCUUUAAGAGAUGAGGAAGUAUCAUUGGUCUCAUCUGCAAAAGCAGCAGUUUGAGUAAGAAAGAAAGGCUACACCAAAGGAAUAAUCAGCCAAGCAAGAAGCUCAUGUUUCCAGGCCCUGCCGAUAGAAUAGCUAACAAUACUGAAUCAGGACCUUAUGUGAUCCUGGUACUCAGGAGAGCUGCAAGUUAAACAUCAGAAGAAACCAUCCAAUUUGGCAUUAACUUUGUGUCCUUGACACUGAAAUAUUGUUUCCUAUGGUGUCUUCAUCCAGAUCAAUUCUAAGUGCCCUGCACACUUUCCUUACCAGGCAUUUUGACAACAUAACCUUCUGAUACUGAGGCGUGAUUUAUACAGAUAUUGAAACUGUCCCUCCUGAAUUUUCAUACCUACUGUCUUAUACUAUGGAUAUCAUCCUAAAUAAUUCUUCUUCUGUUGUUAUUGUAUGUACCCUCCAAAGGCUUGAGAUGGCAAUAUCUCUUCUUUUACAACUUGAAAACCAAAUUGUGUGUAAUGCUUAAGCAAAUUAAUCACUGUUUAUUCCCUGAGGUUUUUUUUUCUUGAAACUCUAGUGAAUGGUCAUUAUUUUCAGCCAUGUCUGCAUUAGUUGCCAGAGUGGCAAACUACUAUUUACUGUGUGGAGCAAAACUAUUAACAGUGUAUUUGUUGUAAAGCAAAACUUCAGAAUGACUCUGGUCAUGCAAAUGCAAAACUUGUGAGUUCAAAUACAUUUCCCUGUCCUGAGUUACGUAAAAGGGGCCAACACAGUUGACUUCUAAUAUUGUGUCCGCUCUACAAACCAAAGAGUAAUAAAUGAGGAUGAGUGAGAUGUAUUUUCAAAGCACACUCCUAUCCCAUCUGAGACAGUGCAAGAAAGGCAAUGCCAGAUAACCAGUUCUAAAUGAACCAAAGAAGGGGUGAUGUUCAUAAUCCAGUCAAAGAAAUGUUUGUUUACCUGUUCCAAGUAUCAGGGCUUGCCAAAUACUCCAAGAAAUGAGAUCUCCAGGUUGAGAUCCUUCUCCUGGCUGGCUGUGUCCCUUCACCAGGUACUCAGUCAUUGUUUCAGGCUGUGACUUAACAAUUCCCCUUAUCUCUGCAGCUCAAAGUGUCCUUGUGAAAAUUCACCAUGGCAGAUGGAAAAAGCCAAAUUUCAAUUGAAGUUACUAUACACUAUCUUACAGGCUUUUACUGUUUUGCCAGACUUCAUUUUUUUUAUUUAACACUCCUGCUACAGGUUGUAUAUUCUCAAAUAUAUUCAGUUGUAUCUUCUCUGAUCAGAAUCUUAUAUAAGGCCCUACUUUUUGUAAUGGUAAGGACUAGUCACUGAAACAAUGUACCUGGGGUCAUGAUAAACUCUCUAAAAUGUGAAGCUUUUAAAUUAAGAUUUGAUUUAUUUCUCAAAUAGAGGUCCUUGCUCAUCCUGAAGUUAUGAAAUUGAUGCAGGAAUCACUUCUUAAAAUUCUGUGGCUUGUGCUGUUCAGGAGGUCAGUCUGUGUUAUUAUAGUUCCUGCUGGUCUUAAAAUUUAUGGAACUACAAAACAUUUUAUAUAUUUUGUGUAUAUUACUAAUUCUGUCUCUUUAUGUACUGUUUCUCUUUCCUUGGAGGUUUUCAUAACACCUUCCAAAUGAAUUUAGUAUUGUCUCUGAAUUUUAUGUACUGUGUAUUCAACUGAAUACAUUGUCAUUUAUCAGUGCACUGUUUGUGGUCCUUCAGCAAGCUUUCAUUCUAUGUGACAGUGUUCAUAUCCAUGCCAAUUUGAUUUUUUUGUGAGUAGAAUUUCAUUUGAUGCUAUAUCAAAUAUUUCAAUAAAAAGCUAGAUACAUUCCAU